rnacentral:rRNA from 1 species
CCUACGGGGGGCAGCAGUGAGGAAUAUUGGUCAAUGGGCGCGAGCCUGAACCAGCCAAGUCGCGUGAGGGAGGACGGCCCUACGGGUUGUAAACCUCGUUUGCCGGGGAGCAACGGGCGUCACGUGUGGCGCCACAGAGAGCACCCGGAGAAAAAGCAGCGGCUCACUCCGUGCCAGCAGCCGCGGUAAUACGGAGGAUGCGAGCGUUAUCCGGAUUUAUUGGGUUGAAAGGGGGCGUAGGGGGAUCGUGAAGGCAGUGGUAAAAUUGAGGGGCUCAACCCCUUCCCGCCAUUGAAACUGGCGUUCUUGAGUGGAGGAGAGGUAUGCGGAAUGCGUGGUGUAGCGGUGAAAUGCAUAGAUAUCACGCAGAACCCCGAUUGCGAAGGCAGCAUGCCGGCUUCCGACUGACGCUGAAGCACGAAAGCGUGGGGAUCGAACAGGAUUAGAUACCCCAGUAGUC